rnacentral:rRNA from 1 species
UACGAAGGGUGCAAGCGUUAAUCGGAAUUACUGGGCGUAAAGGGUGCGUAGACGGCCUGAUAAGUCGAAUGUGAAAGUCCUGGGCUCAACCUGGGGACGGCAUUUGAUACUGUGAGGCUUUGAGUUUGGGAGAGGGUGGUGGAAUUCCCGGUGUAGCGGUGAAAUGCGUAGAGAUUGGGAGGAACAUCUGUGGCGAAGGCGGCCACCUGGCCUGAAACUGACGUUGAGGCACGAAAGCGUGGGGAGCAAACAGG